CUUGUCCAGUGUGUUCCCUCCCGGGUGUUCUUUGCUGCAGUCAGCUCCUCGGAGCGUUUGAACUGUAGUGUAUGAAGCGGUGACAGUCUAGUGUCCAGAGAGACACAAUGUGGAUCGGGACCUGAGCCUUCUCUGACAUGUGCUGGAACACACGUACAAGAGGAAAUUCAAUCUUUGCUGAUGGGAAUGAAAUUAACAACUCUUAUGAAGACAAGAUGAGAUAAGGUUGAAAGCAGAGGGGACCAUUUAUUCACGCAGCCUCUUAGAGUCUCGUUGGCAGCUGAAGAUGACCACCAGGGAGCACUUGGCCUCUUCAGUCUGGUGCCUCCUAGCUCAGCCACCUUGCAUCCACCCCAGGAACAGUGAUGGUGCAGACUGUGGGUGGGGAGACCGUGUGGGUGAGGGAAGCGCUGGAUUAUUCCUGAGUCAUCUCUGUGCUGGGGGGCAUUAAAUAUGAGCCAUAUCUGUCCUGAGUCACCAGCAUAUUUGAAAAGUAGCAUAAUUUGAAAGAAUGCAGAGAGGGAUGCUCAGAGAAGAGGACAAAGAUUUAUGACACCCUCAUUUUUUACUUUUCUCAUUAAAAUAAUUUAUGUUAGUUCUGCUUUACUUGAAUAGACAAAAUCUUCUCCCAUCAUAUUGUCAUCCUUGGGUGGAACAUUUUUAUCUUUUUGUAAUAAACUUUUUAUUUUAAAAAUGUAUAUUUUAUAGAAAAAUCACAGAGAAUUCUGUAUUGCCCACAUGCAGUUUCUCCCAAUGCUAAUAUUUUAUAUAACAACAGAUCACUUGUCAUUACUAAUGAGACAAUAUUGCUAUAUUAUUAAUAAAUAACAUCCAUACUUCA